rnacentral:rRNA from 1 species
AAGUCGGAACGAUGAAGCACUCUGCUUGCAGAGUGCGGAAGAGUGGCGAACGGGUGAGUAACACGUGGCGAACCUGCCCAUAAGAGGGGGAUAACAUCCGGAAACGGGUGCUAAUACCGCAUAGGUGAUCAUAGCGCAUGCUUAGAUCAUUAAAGAUGGCUUCGGCUAUCGCUUAUGGAUGGCCCGGCGGCGUAUUAGCUAGUUGGUAAGGUAAUGGCUUACCAAGGCAGUGAUACGUAGCCGACCUGAGAGGGUGAUCGGCCACACUGGGACUGAGACACGGCCCAGACUCCUACGGGAGGCAGCAGUAGGGAAUCUUCCACAAUGGGCGAAAGCCUGAUGGAGCAAUGCCGCGUGAGUGAAGAAGGUCUUCGGAUCGUAAAGCUCUGUUGUUAGAGAAGAACAAGAGGUGUAGUAACUGGCACCUCCUUGACGGUAUCUAACCAGAAAGUCACGGCUAACUACGUGCCAGCAGCCGCGGUAAUACGUAGGUGACAAGCGUUGUCCGGAUUAAUAGGGCGUAAAGCGAGCGCAGGCGGUCUUUUAAGUCUGAUGUGAAAGCCCACGGCUCAACCGUGGAUGGUCAUUGGAAACUGGAAGACUUGAAUGCAGAAGAGGAAAGUGGAAUUCCAUGUGUAGCGGUGAAAUGCGUAGAUAUAUGGAGGAACACCAGUCGCGUAGGCGACUUUCUGGUCUGUAAUUGACGCUGAGGCUCGUAAGCGUGGGGAGCGAACAGGAUUAGAUACCC